rfam:Triticum urartu cultivar G1812 contig1453620, whole genome shotgun sequence.
GUACUACUCCCUCCAUCCGAAAAAGGUUGUCCCUUAAAUGGAUGUAUUUAGCACCAAAUUAGUGCUAGAUACAUCCAUUUGAGGAACAAGCUUUUUCGGAUGGAGGGAGUAUGAA